CCCUGCCACAAAACAGAGAGGGAAAUAAACAAAAAGAACAGUCUGUGAACCAGCAUCCAAAAACACUGAGGGAGAAGCAAUAUGGAUCUGCCUGAGUCACUGGUAGCAGAGAUAAACAAACCCCAGCUCUCAGGUAGUGUGGCAGCUGUCCUUCAGUUCCACAGAGAAUAUUGAGCACACAAGAUAGCUGAACAAACAGCUCAUUUGCCUCAUUGGUCAUGGUCAGGCCUCUUUGGUCAGAUUUACUUUUCAACAAUGCACGAAUUUAUCAGGAUUUAUGGAACUUGCCUCCAGCAGAAAUUCUACAACCUAUGAUAUAAAUGUAAUAAAAUGAGUGCCUGGUAUUGAUCUUCUCUAUGAAAUGAGCAUUUGGCUCAGCAAUGAAUGAAACAAUAUUUUGUGUGUAAAGAGAUAUAUACUGAGCCUGGUGUCUGAAAUAUUGAGUGGUUUCUUAGAUUUAUAAACUAUCUCAAAGAAGCAAAGGAGUUGUGUCAAGCUCCUCUACCACCAGAGACAGUCAAAGAUUCAAGCUUCCUUUGGUUAUCCCCCUCUGGUGUAUAAGAGAGUGGCUUAUUUUCCAUGUUCUCUUAUGUGCCGGAGUUUAUGGUGUUACAGUGAAAUUGCUCAUUUUAGGGUAUUUCUGUUAAAUUCUCUUUAAACAGGAAAAAAAAAGCAGGUUCAUAAUAAAAUAGAAGCAGAGCAGUACUGAGUCCAGUUAACCCAGUUCCCUCAACAGCCAGAGGAAAGAGGUGCCCAGGGAACUCUCCUGGCUUCUGUUUUCCCCUCACAGAAUCCCAGAAUGGUUUGGGUAGAAGGGAACUUAAACCCAUUUUAAACCCUUAAACCAGGUUGCUCCAAAGCCUGUCCAGCCUGGCCUUGGAUACUUCCAGGGAUGGAGCAGCAAAAAAGCAAUUUAUUCACUAAUUGUGAAUUCCAGCUAAAUGUGCUUGAGAUAUGUGCCAUUCACAAGAUAAAAAGAGAUAAAUUUCUCAGCCUCUUAGUUUGUCAGGAAACAUUAAUUAAAGUGUAAUGACAUCAAGGAUAACAAACAGAAUCAGAUCCCAGGGUUAUGCAGCACUAGCCUAACUUACAACAGGUAUAAAUCUCAUCUAGUGAAAAUAAUAUCUUUACAUGCAUCAAUAAUUUUAGUUAUGCCCAGGGAGACUGAAUCAGAAUUUCCCCUGCAGAAUAUAUCUCUCAUCUAUCCAUGCUGGUUUCCAGAUGCUGCUCACUUUUAUUUAUGUAGACAAGGAAAAACUUUAUUAUUAUUAAAUAACUGUAUGACACCACCAAGGAACUCCUCUUGUUCCUUCAGGGUCUGCUCUGUGCUGAUCAUUUGUGUCACACCUGUCUGCCCUCUAAGACAACUGACAAUUAAAAUAUGCUUUGGAAAA